UUGCUAAGGCCGAUGGCGACCGGCGCACGGGUGAGUAACACGUAUCCAACCUGCCCUUUACUCGGGGAUAGCCUUUCGAAAGAAAGAUUAAUACCCGAUGGGAUAAUUAUUCCGCAUGGUUUGAUUAUUAAAGGAUUCCGGUAAAGGAUGGGGAUGCGUUCCAUUAGGUUGUUGGUGAGGUAACGGCUCACCAAGCCUUCGAUGGAUAGGGGUUCUGAGAGGAAGGUCCCCCACAUUGGAACUGAGACACGGUCCAA
rnacentral:rRNA from 1 species